rnacentral:tRNA from 1 species
UCCCUGCUGGCUCAGAUGGUAAAGAAUCUGCCUGCAAUGUGGGAGACCUGGGUUCGAUUCCUGGGUUGGGAA